rnacentral:rRNA from 1 species
GAUGAACGCUGGCGGCGUGCCUAAUACAUGCAAGUCAAGCGAACAGAUGAGGAGCUUGCUCCUCUGACGUUAGCGGCGGACGGGUGAGUAACACGUGGAUAACCUACCUAUAAGACUGGGAUAACUUCGGGAAACCGGAGCUAAUACCGGAUAAUAUAUUGAACCGCAUGGUUCAAUAGUGAAAGACGGUUUUGCUGUCACUUAUAGAUGGAUCCGCGCCGCAUUAGCUAGUUGGUAAGGUAACGGCUUACCAAGGCAACGAUGCGUAGCCGACCUGAGAGGGUGAUCGGCCACACUGGAACUGAGACACGGUCCAGACUCCUACGGGAGGCAGCAGUAGGGAAUCUUCCGCAAUGGGCGAAAGCCUGACGGAGCAACGCCGCGUGAGUGAUGAAGGUCUUCGGAUCGUAAAACUCUGUUAUUAGGGAAGAACAAAUGUGUAAGUAACUAUGCACGUCUUGACGGUACCUAAUCAGAAAGCCACGGCUAACUACGU